AAGAAGGGCAAAUGCUAGAAGAAGAAGAAACUGAAGAGAAAUUGAGUGUAGACAGAGGAAAAAGAAAGACACCUUCAGACCUGCUUCACUACUUGUGAAGCAUCUCCCACCCCAGUAGGUGGGGAGUCAGGGGGAGAGGGGGCUUGAACCUGGGUUUUUACUCCUGGUGAUAUGUACGUUUAACUGGGUGCACCACCACCUGGCCCUGAGUUCCUUUUUCUCCACCUCCUUGGCAACACAUGUCCUUUCCUAUUAUGUCGAUGCAGGUCAGGAACUAUGGUGGUUAUCAAAAUGGGUGUACACAGAACUCUGGUGUUGGGUGUGGUGUGAACUUUAUAAUUUUGCAAACCACUACUAGCUAAUAAAAUAAAGUAUUUAGAAAAAAGGAAAACAGGAUGACUUCUUGCAGUCCCCGAGGACAUUAGAGUCUGUGAUGUGCCUCUGCCUCCCUUGGCAUUACAGUCAUCUCUUCAUGUGCCAGCAGCUGCCAUUCGGUUGCACUUAGGUUAGACAACAAAUCUGCAUCACCUCACAGGGUACUGAGGAUGAGCUUGAAUACAGGGUUGCAGACCUGAGUUUGAGAAUGGAAUGAGGCCAAUCACAAAAUAAAUACUUUUGACCAA